UACGAAGGGGGCUAGCGUUGCUCGGAAUCACUGGGCGUAAAGGGCGCGUAGGCGGCUGAUCAAGUCGAGGGUGAAAGCCCGUGGCUCAACCACGGAAUGGCCUUCGAUACUGGUUGGCUUGAGACCGGAAGAGGACAGCGGAACUGCGAGUGUAGAGGUGAAAUUCGUAGAUAUUCGCAAGAACACCAGUGGCGAAGGCGGCUGUCUGGUCCGGUUCUGACGCUGAGGCGCGAAAGCGUGGGGAGCAAACAGG
rnacentral:rRNA from 1 species